CCUACGGGUGGCUGCAGUGAGGAAUAUUGGUCAAUGGGCGGAAUGCUGAACCAGCCAAGUCGCGUGAGGGACGACUGCCCUAUGGGUUGUAAACCUCUUUUAUAAGGGGAGAAUAAAUGCUACGUGUAGCAUGAUGCCUGUACGUUAUGAAUAAGCAUCGGCUAACUCCGUGCCAGCAGCCGCGGUAAUACGGAGGAUGCGAGCGUUAUCCGGAUUUAUUGGGUUUAAAGGGUGCGUAGGCGGUUUUAUAAGUUAGUGGUGAAACGUCGGGGCUUCACCUUGGGUUUGCCAUUAAUACUGUAAGACUAGAGAUCAGACGCAGCAGGCGGAAUGAGUAGUGUAGCGGUGAAAUGCUUAGAUAUAACACAGAACACCGAUAGCGAAGGCAGCUUGCCAGGCCGGGUCUGACACUGAAGCACGAGAGCGUGGGUAGCGAACAGGAUUAGAUACCCGGGUAGUC
rnacentral:rRNA from 1 species